rnacentral:rRNA from 1 species
UGGGGAAUUUUGGACAAUGGGCGAAAGCCUGAUCCAGCAAUGCCGCGUGUGUGAAGAAGGCCUUCGGGCUGUAAAGCACUUUUGUCCGGAAAGAAAUCCUUGGCUCUAAUACAGUCGGGGGAUGACGGUACCGGAAGAAUAAGCACCGGCUAACUACGUGCCAGCAGCCGCGGUAAUACGUAGGGUGCAAGCGUUAAUCGGAAUUACUGGGCGUAAAGCGUGCGCAGGCGGUUUGCUAAGACCGAUGUGAAAUCCCCGGGCUCAACCUGGGAACUGCAUUGGUGACUGGCAGGCUAGAGUAUGGCAGAGGGGGGUAGAAUUCCACGUGUAGCAGUGAAAUGCGUAGAGAUGUGGAGGAAUACCGAUGGCGAAGGCAGCCCCCUGGGCCAAUACUGACGCUCAUGCACGAAAAGCGUGGGGAGCAAAACAGGAUUAGAUACCCUGGUAGUCCACGCCCUAAAACGAUGUCAACUAGUUGUUGGGGAUUCAUUUCCUUAGUAACGUAGCUAACGCGUGAAGUUGACCGCCUGGGGAGUACGGUCGCAAGAUUAAAACUUAAAUGAAUUGACGGGGUCAUAGCUGUUUCCU